UACAAAUCCCCGCCCCCUCCACCGUACUAUUACAAAUCCCCACCACCACCUCCCUACAAAUACGAAUCGCCGCCGCCUCCUCCUUACAAAUACGAGUCCCCACCUCCACCACCUUACUAUUACAAGUCCCCACCACCACCUCCAUACAAAUAUGAAUCCCCGCCACCUCCAGUCUACAAAUAUGAGUCUCCGCCACCCCCAGUUUACAAAUACAAGUCGCCACCACCACCAUACAAGUACGAGUCACCACCACCACCUCCAUACAAGUAUGAAUCCCCGCCACCUCCACCUUAUUACUACAAGUCCCCUCCACCACCACCAUACAAGUACGAGUCGCCACCACCUCCUCCGUACAAGUAUGAAUCUCCACCACCACCAGUUUACAAAUACAAGUCACCUCCGCCGCCACCUUAUUACUACAAAUCCCCACCGCCACCUCCAUACAAGUACGAGUCUCCACCUCCUCCUCCGUACAAGUAUGAAUCUCCACCACCACCACCUUAUUACUACAAAUCCCCCCCGCCACCUCCAUACAAGUACGAGUCACCGCCUCCUCCUCCGUACAAGUAUGAAUCUCCACCACCGCCAGUUUACAAAUACAAGUCACCCCCGCCACCACCUUAUUACUACAAAUCCCCGCCACCACCUCCAUACAAGUACGAGUCUCCACCUCCUCCUCCGUACAAGUAUGAAUCUCCACCACCACCUCCUUAUUACUACAAAUCCCCGCCGCCACCUCCCUACAAGUAUGAAUCCCCGCCACCACCUCCCUACAAAUACGAGUCACCUCCACCACCACCUUACUAUUACAAAUCUCCUCCACCGCCUCCAUACAAGUAUGAGUCGCCACCACCACCAGUCUACAAAUACGAGUCUCCGCCACCCCCAGUUUACAAAUACAAGUCGCCCCCUCCACCUUAUUACUACAAGUCUCCGCCACCCCCGCCAUACAAAUAUGAAUCCCCACCUCCACCUCCCUACAAGUAUGAAUCGCCUCCUCCUCCACCUUACUACUACAAGUCCCCUCCACCACCUCCCUACAAAUAUGAAUCCCCGCCACCACCUCCCUAUAAAUACGAGUCACCACCACCACCACCUUACUAUUACAAAUCUCCUCCACCGCCUCCAUACAAGUAUGAGUCGCCACCACCACCUCCCUACAAAUACGAGUCACCACCACCACCACCUUACAAGUAUGAAUCCCCACCUCCACCUCCGUACAAGUAUGAAUCACCUCCACCGCCUCCAUACAAGUAUGAAUCCCCUCCUCCACCUCCCUACAAAUACGAGUCACCACCCCCACCACCUUAUUACUACAAAUCGCCUCCGCCACCGGAGUAUCAAUCACCUCCUUACGUGUAUAAAUCUCCACCUCCACCCUCGUACUAGGAGCUAAGGAGCAUUUGAUUUUCAGGUGAGAAAUCUAUAGAACCACAGUUCCUAGUUUUAACAAGUUUUCAAAUUCAUCAGGUUGUAAGAAGAGGACGUCGAAGUAGAUACGGAUGUGUAGAUUGGGAUCUCGUUGGCUUUGAGUAGCAAUUUGUUUCCACCAUCGAAGUCUUCUCUCCGCAAUCUUCUCAAGGCGCUCACAAAGCGCUCAGGGGCAGUUUUGAAGUGCAGCGGGACCCCUGCAAAAUAAGCACAGGCUUGUUGAGGAAGUUUGAGAGCUUUUGUUGGUUGCCAAUAAACACAGGGAAUUAGCGCAUAUGUGCGCCCUCCUGGCUUCCAGUUGUGAACGAUUCUGAAGUAAAUAAUUUGAUUCUGCGACUAGAAAGCAUGCUGGACCAUUCUGGAAGUGUCUCCAGGACUGCCAAAAGGCUAAAUCCAAGAUUUUCAAAAGGAUCCGUCUUUCUUCUAAGAAGAUCGAUCUUCUUAGAAGAUCUUGACGUCGCAAGCAAGACCUGAGAUCAAGGUUCACAAUGUAGGAGUCGAUUGCGGGCAUUGAAUGAACGAAAGGAAAUCCUGGCCAGUCUCUCCUUUUCUAGCUCGACACCCGGCAAUCCAGAAGAAAAGGCUGCUCGAUCGUAUUUUCCAUACGAGGACUUUUAUGCCGCAUUGAUCGUUGCUGCUCACCACUUUGACAAUGAAAGGUUUGAAACUCAAGACUAGUUCCUGUGUAGAAAAUGCCAAAAGAAAAUCCACAUCAUAGAAAUGUAAAAAAUGCCAAAAGAAAACCACAUCAUAGAAAUGAGCUCGUGGCCAAAAGAAAUGGAGAUGAGGGGCAUCGAUCCCCUUACCUAUCGCAUGCGAAGCGAUCGCUCUACCAUCUGAGCUACAUCCCCGUUUGAUCUUACCAGCCGCUGAUACCAGGCAUAUUCUCCGAUCGCCGACUUCCUUGCAGGUUCCAAUGGGCGGAAAAGAACACUUCUCGAGGGAGACAUGGAAGCCUGGAAUCGCAAAGGAGAGGGUAGGGUUCCUUGCUUUUUUCGCCCACCAGGUAGCUAUCUCUAAUUCUGCCAAGGAUGCCUAGAAGAAAGCUUGUGGAGAUCGAUGUCACGUCGGAUACGGUGUGCCCCUGGUGCUACAUCGGGAAGAAGAACUUGGAGCGGGCAAUCGAGGCCUCGGCAGACGAAUACGACUUCGAGGUAACUGGUUGGAUUCAUUCCUCCUCUCGAGUCUUAGAACGCUUCGAUCCAAUCACGCAGGUUCGAUGGCGUCCCUACUUGCUGAAUCCCAGCGCCCCCGUCGAGGGUGUUGAUAAGCUUGCUUAUUACAAGUCCAAGUUUGGAGAAGGUCGAUUUUCUUCUAUCGUGGGCCGAUUGAGCAAGGUUUUUUUUACUGUGAUGAUCUAGCAAAUGCUUAUUAGUAAGUCUAAGAUGAUAAAUUGGUUCUCAGGUGUUUGAGGAUGUUGGACUCGAAAUCAACUUUGGCGGCCUCACGUAAAGAUCAUCACGCUUUAAUCUUUGUGUGUGUGUUAACUUUGUGGGAUUUCCACAGGGGAAACACUCUGGACAGCCACAGGCUUAUCGAACUGGCUGGACGUCAAGGCUAUGACAAGCAGAACGCGCUUGUCGAGGAGCUCUUCCUCAACUAUUUGACUCAAGAGAAAUACAUCGGUGACAGGUUUCUCUUCUUCUCCCUCGGCGAAGAUUUGUGAGAUCUCGGUUGAGCUGACAUGGUCUCGUUUGAUCAGGCAAGUUCUGGUGGAUGCCGCGGACAAAGUUGGAGUCACGGGGGCCAGCGAGUUUCUCGCUGAUCCUAAUGCCGGCCUCAAGGAGGUUUGUUUGUUUCUUUUAUCUCCAAGGCUUCAGCGUCGCGAUGUUCUACUGUUGCGCAGGUCCUGGAACAACUCAAAAAAUAUGGCACUGGAGUGAAUGGUGUCCCGCAUUUUCUAGUAAGCACAACUCUAAACUUUGAUGGUGAUCACUAAACUUUCGUCGUCCUCUACAGGUGAAUGGCAAGUAUCAACUCUCUGGCGCCCAGCCACCCAGCUCCUUUAUCGAAGUUUUCAAGAAGAGCUAGCUAGACUUAUGGUCUCUUUACAUCUUCUAGUGUGAAAGAAUCUCUCUCUCUCUCUCUCUCUCUCCCUCUCCAGACUUAUGGAAGCCAGCGAGUGCCUGGCACUGCUCGAUCGUUGCAAGACACUGUCCGUGGCCAAGGACAUCCAUUCCCGCAUCCAAGGAAACGUCCACAGCUCCGCGGCCAUCGCCAACAAGCUGAUCGAGGUCUACGGCCGGUGUGGGAGCAUCGACGAUGCACGCAGGGUGUUCGAUGCCACCAAUGCCAAAGACGCGGUUUCGUGGGUCGCGAUGCUCUCUGUCUACACUCGCAACGGGCAUCCAGAAGACGCCAAGCGCAUGUUUGAGAACAUGCCAGAUCGAUCUCCAGCGUCCUGGAAUGUCAUGUUGCUUGUCUACGUCCAAGCUGGGAAUCUACAAGCUGCAAGGCAACUGUUUGAAGAGAUGCCGGAACAGACUCUAGUGUCCUGGAACACUAUGCUCUCUGCAUAUGCCAAAGCCGGGCAUCUUGACACAGCGAAAGAGUUGUUUGAUGCAAUGCCGCAUCACAACAUCAUCUCUUUCUCAGCUAUCCUUCCCGCGUUUGUGGAGAAUGGGCUCCUUGACGAUGCCAGGAUCUUGUUCGAUUCCAUGCAAGAGAGCAACCUCGUGUGCUGGAACACUCUCCUGUCGGCCUACACGCGGCACGGGCACCUCCAGGAAGCGGCUCUCCUCUUCGCCGACAUGCCGGCACGGGACAUUGUCUCCUACACCGCACUCUUGUCGGCUCUCUCGCAGCACAGCCGGCUAGAAUAUUCUAAGAUCCUCUUCGAGGAGAUGCCAGAGAGAAGCAUCGUGUCGUGGACCGCGAUGCUGACUGCAUAUGCCCAAAACGGGUGUCUGGCGGAAGCGAAGGAGAUAUUCGACAAGAUGCCGGAGCGUGACUUUGUGUCAUGUACUGCUAUUCUUGCGGCGUACAGCGAAGCCGGGAUGGUUGACAGGGCAAGGUUUUGUUUCGAUCGGAUGCCAGAGCGAAACAUGGUUACUUGGACUACCAUGCUUGCUGCAUAUGCCCAGCGUGGGCUUGUUGACGCCGUCGCCAAGUUGUUCCAGAAAAUGCCCCAGAGUGAUCUCAUAGCUUGCAACACCAUGGUGAGCGCAUACGGUCAAAGCGGGCGGCUGGACGAGGCUGUACAGGUGUUUGAAGUGAUGCCGGUGCGAAGCCUGGUGACAUGGAAUGCUAUGCUAGCUGCUUAUGCCCAAAACUGUCAUCUUGAGAGCGCAAAGAAGGUAUUUGAUUCAAUGCCUAUGAAGGAUCUCGUUGCCUGGACGGAAAUGCUCGUAGCUUAUGCCCACGCUGGUCAUUUGGAAGAAGCUAAGUGUGUCUUUGACAAAAUGGCACAGAGGGAUGUGGUUUCCUGGAAUGUAAUGGUUACUGCGUUUGGCCAAAACGGCUACCUGGUUGAGGCCCAGCGGUUGUUUGAAUCCAUGCCAUUUCACAGUGUGAUGUCUUGGAACUCCAUUCUGGUUGCAAACAGCCAAUUUGGUGGAUUGCAGGGCUCGAGAUUAGUUUUUGAUGAGAUGCCAUGCCGUGAUACUGCUUCCUGGAGUGCAUUGCUCUUCGCUUAUGCCCAACAUGGACUUGACCAGAAAUGCAAGUUUCUAUUCGAUAGAAUGCCAGAGAAGUCUGUUGUCUCAUGGAACUCCAUGUUAGCCGCAUACACAUACAGUGGUAACUCUGUAGCAGCGAUGGAGCUGUUUAGUCUCAUGAAGAUGAAUGAAUUGCCUAACGAGACAUCUUUUCAUCUGGUUUUAAUCGUGUGCAGCCGCAGAAGAAGCGCAUCUGAAGGGAGGAGACAAUUCCUUUCAAUGUACGCGGACUUUGGGAUAUAUCAAGGAAAACAGCAUUUUCACCUCGUCCUCGAUCACUGGACCGAAGCCAAGGAUGGAUUUCCAUCUGAGCCAAGCAAUGCAGCUCUGGCGAAGAACCAGGUGACAGAAAACUUUCAUAGUUGACAUACUCUUUUCAAGGCAUUUGACAGGAGAAUGUAUGGCAACCGGUUUUGCUCAUCGACUCCGACGGCAUUCCUUGCAGCAGCCGCUCCCUGCUGCGUGUCACCAUGGAUAUCACACGCAGAGAGGAGAGUGGCCCAAUUCUUGAGCUCUGGAACGUAUGGCAUGCUCUCGAUCAGCCCUUUAGCCUCGUCAAGCUGCCCAGCUCGAGCAAGAAGAUCGACAAUGCAGCGGAAAUGGCUGGCUCGGGCAUCCAAGCCGUAAUCCAGGUCCAUGAACACGAAGUGCCGCCAUGCCAAACCGAAGAAUCCCUCGUGUCCCAAGGCCGAGAUGAGACUGAGCAGUGUGAUCUCGUUGGGAUCCCAGCCGUCCAGCUUCAUCAACUGGAAGAGCUCAAGAACACACCUCACGCGCUUCAAACUCCGCUCCCUGCGUCGCUGCUGCUCCUGCGGCCGACUGGAAUCCUCUCGUCGCGUGUAGACCUGCAGCAUCAUGUUCCAUGCCACCACCGUGCGCUCCGGCAUCAUUCGAAAGAGCUUCCUGGCCUCAGUGUGAUGCCCGCUUCGAGAAUACGCAGUUAUCAUGGAUGACCAUGAAAUGCUGUCUUUUACGUGCAUGCUAUCAAAAACUUUCCUUGAAACGUCUAAGAAUCCCGCUUGGAUGUAAGCGAAGUUCAUAGCGUUACACGCUGCCAGACUUUGACACGGCAUUUCUACAAAUAAACUCCUGGCUUCCUCUACAUGCCCGACUUGGGCAUAUGCCGCCAGCAUGGUAGUCCACGUCACUUGGUCACGGACGGGCAUGGAGUCAAAGAUGUCUCGGGCUUGUUCCACGUGUCCGUGGUCGCAGUAGCCUGCCACCAGGGACGUCCACGUCACUAUAUCCCUGGCGGGCAUGCUGUCAAACAGCGUCAUGGCAGCUCCAAGGUGGUUGUUCUUCGCGUAGCCUUCAACCAUUGCAUUGCAAGCAAUGCCAUUCCACACGGGCAUUCGAUCAAACAGCGCCUUGGCAUCAUCUAGCUUGCUGCUUCUCAACAGAAUUACUAGCAUUGUAGUGAAAGACACCUCGUCCCUCUCUGGCAUCAUUUCGAAAAACUCAAUCGCUUCAUUCAGCCUCCUGUCGCCAUCGCCAUCUUGCGAAUGUGCCGCAAGCAUGCUGUUCCAGGCUAUUAGAUCCUGCUCUGGCAUCUCACUAAAGAUCUGCUUCGCAAUGUCGAAAUGCCCACUUGCGGCAUUUGCUGUGAUAAUGGCAUUCCAUGCGACGGUACCAUGUUCGGGCAUUUUCUCAAAAGUAUCCCUUGCCUUUGAAAUCUCUUUGUUUAGUGUGUAGCCUUGCAGCAUUGCGUUGUACGUUAUUUCAUUCCGAACAGGCAUUGAAUCAAACAGAAGUUUUGCGUUUUCCAGAUCCUCGCCUUUGGCAUAUGCUAAAACCAUGGCAGUCCAUGAUACAACAUCCCUCUCCGGCAUGUCCUUAAACAGCGUGCUUGCUUGAUCAAAGUUUCCAAUGUCAGCAUACGCGGCUAUAAUAGUAUUCCAAGAAACAAGAUCUCUUUGAGGCAUCGAAUCAAACAUAGACCUCGCUUGUCCCAAAUGCCCAUUCUGGGCAAGUGCAGACAUCAUGAUGUUCCAGGAGAAAACGUUGGGCUUGUAAAGUUGGUGAAACACCAGCCAUGCUUGCUCGAGCUGCCCACACCUUCCAUACAUGUCUACCAAAAGAUUUCCGAGGUAUCUGUUUGAUCUGUGCUCGCUAGCAUUGAUCUGUGCGUGAACACAUCGUCCUCGGUCGAGGUCCUUGGAAUUGCCGCAUGAUCUGACAAGGGACCCAAACCUCGCGAGCUCCUCGAUGGAUUGCAUUGUUUCUCUCGAGCGCGUGGGCGAUAGCGAUUCAUCCAAGAAUGGUGGAUGCCUCUCGCAAUCUCUUGUGCCAUAUACUAAGAUAUGAUUGUGUCAAAUGCUUGCGAGGCAAGAGCGCAUCGAGCACUAUGCAUCGCUCAUCCGAUCUUGCCAAGAUACACGCCAGGGGAGACAACUCCACGAGCGCGUCCUGGGCAGCGAGUUUCGGAGGAACAGAUACUUGGGCAAUUUGUUGGUAGAGAUGUAUGGCAAAUGCGGGGAUGUAGAGAGCGCAAGGCAGGCGUUCCGAGAGGUCUAUGAGCCCAACACAAUCUCGUGGAAUAUAAUGAUCGCGGCGCUCUCCGAUAACGGCUACGUUGAGGACGCUCGUGCCGUGUUUGAUCAAACGCCUUACAAAGAUGGUGUCUCCUGGAACACCAUUCUUGCAGCAUAUGCCCAAGCGGGGCAUAUUGUAGAGGCGCGUAAAAUCUUUGAGGAAAUGCCAGCGAAAGACGAGGCAUCCUUUACCGCUUUGAUUUCGGCUCUUGGGAGGAUUGGAGAGGUGAGGGCUGCCAAGACCAUCUUUGAUGGCAUGCCGGUGUGGAACACCAUGUCGUGGAACACCAUGCUCCAGGUAUUUUCGACGAAUUCUUAUGUAGAAGAAGCGGAGAAGAUGUUUGAAACGCUGCUGGAGAAGAAUGUUGUGUCGUGGACUGCUAUGAUCGCCGCGUGUGGUGAGCAAGGAAACCCGGAGAAAGCCAGGGGAUACUUUGACACGAUGCCUCUCUUUGAUCUUGUAGCUUGGUGUAGCAUUGUCACCGCAUAUGCCCAAAAUGCGCAUGCUGGAGAGGCCAAGUUUUUGUUCGACAUGAUGCCUGAGCACAACCUGGUCGUCUUUAAUGUCAUGGUUCUGGCUUACGCACAAAACGGAAACUUUGAUGAAGCACGCAGCAUGUUUGAGCAAAUGCCGUUCCGGGACUCAGUCUCUUGGACUGCCAUGGGAACGGCAUAUGCGCAAAAUGGGCAUCUCCAAGAAGCAUGGAAAGUGUUUGAGGUCAUGCCGGAGAAGAACUUGGUAUCUUGGAACGCUAUGAUACAAGCCGUCUCGCAAAUCGGAAGGCUGGAUGCGAUGGCCGAGCUGGGAUACUCUCGGCUGCUCAACGAUCGUAAUAGAAACCAAUGGAGGACUCUGAGAGACAAGAGCGUAGCGGAGGCUCUUGGCCACCUCUAUCUCAUGCUUCUCGAUGGCUGGGAGCCAAACGAGGUGACAUACUUGAGCUUGGUUUCCGCUUGCGGUCACGCAGGGAUGCUGAAAGACGCAUUGUCCCACUUCAAGGCAAUGACUUUCGACCACCGCCUGCGUCCUCAAGCCGGCCACUUCAGGUCCAUUCUGGAUCUCCUGAGCCGCGCAGGGAGACUGGCCGAGGCCAAGGAUCUCAUCCAAAACAUGCCGUUUGUCCCGGAGACUCCUGCGUGGGCGACGCUACUUUCGGCUUGUGGAACACAAGGUGACUCGAGACAGGAAAGUUCUAGCGUUGCACAGAGUGUGCUCGAGAUGAGGUCCGGGAGCUGUGGAUCCUACGUUCUCAUCUCCAAUCUAUACUCCGCAAAGAAGUACGCAAGACAGUGAAUCGCUCUCUGGCGAAGCGACGAACUUAGAGAGCCAAAGUUGCAUCUCUUCCAUGGAAGGACGCCAAAGGAAGGACGGCAUAGACAAAAUGCCAAACUUCUGUGCGUCUCGGUCCGAGGUAGUGACGCUGGCAAGAGACAAGAGGGAAGGCUCAAGCUUAAAGAUCCAAGGACAAGCUCUCCGGUGGGAUUCGAGCGGGAGAGAAGUAGGCCAGCAGCAUCGAAACAAGAGCACACGCCAAAACCAUCGCUCGAAUCAGUAAGAUCAUUAAGAGAACACUAAGUGAAAAGACACAAAGUAGAAGAAAAGAAAAGCCUCCAUUUUUAUUUACAAACGCAAAGUCCCACUAGUACUACGAUCAAUCGUUUUAUCAUGAGCAGCACCCAGCUUUCUUUUUUGUUCUUGGAUCCUCACAGUGAUGGGCGAUGCGAUCGGCGAGGAAAGAGGCAGUUCAUCACCAUCACGUACUGUCGAGAAAGGGAAGCUUGGCGAGGAGCCACAUAUAUAAAUAUACCAUCGCGAUCAUGUCAAAGCUGGCGACGCUCGGGGAGCGAUGGCGCUGGAGCGGAUGAAUUGGAGCACCUCGGGCAUGAACACGUAGCUCACGGUUCCAUCGGGCGUGACGAAUCCAUGCGUCGCGUCCGGAUACUCUACGAGCUUCACCUCCACGCCGCUCUCGCGCAAGAAAUCCGCGUAGGCGACCUGGCGGUCGUGGAGCAAGUCUCGCCCGCCCACGAUCACCAGCGCCGGCGGGAGAUUGCAUGGCAGCGGCUGCGCGGCCGCGAGAGGAUCGCAGAAGGGAUGGUCGCGCGACGCGCCAUCCGGGAGCGCAAGGCUCCACAGCUGGUCGCUCAUGGCGAGCGUGAGGAUGGGGCCGUCGGAGAGGCGGAGCUCCGAGGCGGUCCUGUGCGCGCCACCAAAGAAUGGCUGGAGGAGGAUCUGGGCGGCGAAGCUGAGAGGAGGGAGGAGCGCGCGCUUGCUCUUGGACGACUCGAGCACCAUGAGGAGCGCGUUGUGGACAAUGUUGCCGCCAGAGCUUCCGCCCAUGAAGAUCAAGCUGGAGAAGUCGGCAUACGAGGCUAGCCAGGGAUCCCUUUGAGGAAGAUGGUGGUCGCCACCAUCGCGCAAGCUCGUGAUCUGGUGGUGGUGAUCAUGACUAUCACCAUUGCCAUCCACAGUAGCGCUGGCAGCAUCGCCACCAUCGCCAUCGCUGGUGGAGAGAAGAGCUUGGGCUCGGAGCCAGUGGAGCGCCGAGACGAGGUCUUGGUAGGCGGCGGGGAGGCACGAGGCCGGCGCCAAUCUGUGGUUGAGCGAGACAACAAGAGCAGUGGCAUCAGUGGCUACCUUCUUGCAGAAAUCGUGGUACGAGGACGUGGCGGCGCUGAAUCGGACGAAUCCUCCGCCGUGGACAUGGACCACAAUGGGGAGCUUGCGCUUGGAAUUGAUCUGGAGCGCCGCCGCGGGGAGAUAGAGCCUGACCCACACACGACCAUCGCCACCGCCGAGCUUGACAUCCCGCGACGCCACACCAUCCGCGAAGCUGGAAUCCGCGGCAACCUCGGGGAUUUCCCAGCUCUGCGCGGACGCUGGCGGCCCUGUGGAAUCGCCCAUCAUGCUCUAGCUCUCUCGCGCUCCCGGAGAGAGAGAGAGAGAGAGAGAGAGAGAGAGGCGCGGCGCGGUGAAAGAAUCAAAGAAAUAACUCGUAGAAAACGCGGAGCAAAUCCUGCGCUCCUCCAAUCCAAUCCUGCGCAGCGCUUCUUCCUUCUCCAGGUUUUGUAGCUCUCGCUCCUCUCCGCUCUAGCUACGCGGCCCAAGAGCUUGAUUAGCCACAUUCUUCUUUUUCCAUUGUUUAAGCUUUGCCAUGGACCCUCUCUUGACAAUGCUUCACCAACAAUCACGAAAGUGAAAGGCGCGCAUAAAUAUUCCUCUAAUCGCUCUCUCCUCGCUGCAGAUCUCCCUUGCGGGGUGGAUCUAGAGGAUGAUCUAUGCGUAAGUUAUUUGCACCACACGAGAGGGUGAUUGAUUGAUUAUCAAAUCGCGAUUUGAUAAACCCCGCGGUAUAGCUGUUCCUCAUAUGCGAAUUAUAUCCAUGCGAGCGUGGUCUCGCCUUGGCGAUCUCGCUGUCCACGAGCAUCCGGAUGCUCCACCCCUCGCAAGCAAUUCGCUCUCGAUCGAGUGUAACUCUCUCGCUUUUCCCGCUUAGCAGACAAUGUAAACAAUCGAUCGAUCGCUCUCGUGCUCUUUGGUUGCUCGAGAAUGCUGACAAGAGUUCGCUCUGUGGCAUAGAUUAUCUAAGCAAAGUCUGCGAGUGUGGCGAAGGAGAUCUCCCAGCGACACUUGCUAAAAAAAAAAAAAUCUUGUGCAAAGCACUCGCGGCCAAGGGUGGGAGUGAUGCGUCCAUUGCGAAUGAUUGGCAUAUGAGUUAUCGCGGGUGUAUGAUGAGAUAAUCACAAACCACACUCAAACAAACCAAACAACCUCAACCUUAUAGAAUCGCAAACAUUAUUCCUGGUGGGAAUCCUGGCAAAGACUUUGAAAUUUCUGCCACCACCCGCCCUACCUAGUCUAUGAUCCGAGCGAGCGAACGCGGCAAAACAAAGAGAGAGAGAGAGAGAGAGGAAGAGAAAAAAAAAAGCAAGAAAGAGAGAGCGGAAGAUUCCUUUUUCUCUCAACAAAAGCCGAGAGAGAGAGAGAGAGAAGAAGAGAAAAAAAAGCAAGAAAGAGAGAGCGAGAGAGCGGAAGAUUCUUUUUUCUCUCAACAAAAGCCGAGAGAUUCCUUUAUUUCAACCAAAGCUACCUAUAUUAUUCGAUAUUCGCUUUCUUUCUUCACGGGUGUGACCACUCAACUCCUUGAUUCAUAGGCAAGGUGAUAGAAACUUUAGUUUUUCCUCCAGCGAAACAACGUGGUGGCUGAUGCUCUGACUUGAUCCAAAACAUAUAAUCGAUCGUGCCACCAGAUUUACGAGGAAGCAUACAUCCUCCAUAGCCGCAAGCCAAGACAAGCGACCAAGCGAGCCAAGACGCAAGCUAGCAAUCAAGCAAAGCAGCACAGACACAUGAUCUCAUUCAUCGCAUCAUCGUGCUCAGCGCUUGGGUGAUCUCAUCCUGCAGCGCAAGAUUUGGGAUUGUCGCAGAUUCCUUUGGUUGAAUCCACAACUUGGUCCUGUCGAUCAUGUCCUGGAUUCGUUAAUUCACGCUCUCAUACAGCCCAGUCACAGCUCACUUUCUUCCUUCCCAGAGUGGAAGCAAAGCAAAUCACACCGAGGGAGAGACGAAGAAAAGCGCCGAGACAAAAUCCAAACCACAAGACGUAUGCUUCCGUGUGGCAGAGCCGUAGCUCCACCAUGAAGCCAAAAAAAAAAAAAAAGGAAAAAUAGUCGAAGAAAAGAGUACGAGAAAGAAAAGGAAGAAAUAUACCUACGUGCUACGUACAAACAAAUGCAUGAGACGCGACAAAGCAUGAAUGGGAGAGAGAGAGGCCGAGGAAAAAAAAAAAAAAAACUGAUAGAAGAGAUGGAAAAACUAUUCUUUGUUUCUAGGAGGCAUCUGAAAAGGGAGUAAUACCUCUGUGUCCACUGAAGCGAUGUCCUUGCUUUUCUCGCCGCGGCCUUGCUUCAAUUCAAGCCUUGGGUCUGAGUCUUGCUUCUCUCUCGCUCUCUCGUACUGCUCGUCUCGUCUGGAGAGAUUCCAGUUGUUUAGUAUUCCAAAAUCAAGCACUUAAGUACCUCCUUCUCUUUCUCCUGGAGUCCGAGCCAUUUACUCGGAAGGCUUGGAGGGGUCGCUCUUUGAUAGCCUUCCGUAGCACGGGAUGUAAGUUGUAAUUUAGACUGGGAUGGUUCCUGCCUGGCAAGCUUGUAUAGUUUCAAACCAAAAAGAAAAGGAGAAAGUUGCUUACGAAGGUUUACGUCUGAUCUUUCCAGAUGAUGUCUUUGAGUCCCGUUGUGAACGACUGGUGGAACUGCGCAGCGACAGCAUAUUGUUAAUGUUGAUGGCGAGGAAGAGAAAUAAAGAAGAGUCAAACAGUUGCCUUGUGAUACUCGAGUGUAUCGCCACCAGAUUUCCGUAGCUCCACCACGUAAAAAGACGGUGCAACUUCGAAGACCUGAGAGCAGAGCUUUUGUACGAGAGAAUGAGAACCAAAACGCUUUACCUCCGUGCACACCGAAAGAUGGCCUUUCCUACCUCGCUUUGACCCUUGCAGCGUCAUCUGAAGGAAAGUGCUUGUCCAACUCAUGCAAUCCUUUUUAGAACUAUACCUUGUAGUUCCUCUUCUGGAUAUGGAACCCCAGCGGUCUCGCAGUUUCUUCUAUUGUUCUCACAAUCUCUUUCGCAGGAUGUUUCGAUGUGAACCGUGACUCGCGUUCCACCUCCUACAACAAGUUACGCGAUCGUGAGCAUCUCUAUAGAGAGGAAAGAUAAAUGCUUGAGGAUACUUACACGAUGCUCGAAAAGGCCUGACAAGUUGAAUCCUCGCGACAUCGAUAUGAUCUCAAAAGCAUUCAUGGUGACUGGUUGUGGCUCCUCUUUCUCCGCCACAAGAUGAUCCUGCAAGAAAAUUUCAGUUCUCUUUCAUGUCAAUUUGCCAGACACGCCGUCCUACCUCAGAGCCAUUAAACACCGCAUCAAUGUCGUCAAGGUUGGGACUUUGUUCCUUUCCAAGUGUCAUUGGUUUGUGUUCGACUUGAAACCACUCAUUGUCCAUUAUCCUGGAGAUGGAUAUGCGCUGACGCACAAAUUCGGAAAAGGGCGAGAGAGAGACCAGCACAAGCAAAUAUUACUACAUCAAUGAUGCCAAUUUAAUUCUUACUGAUUUCGGAUUUGGAUCCAGUAUCUUUUGUACAAGCUUUCGGGAGCCCCUUGAAAACCAAUGCGGAAAUGUAAAAUCUGCGCGAUGCAUCUAAUUCGCAUUUAAUUCAUGUCAGCUGAACAGGAAAAACAACCAAACAGAUGUUUUCAUACCUUCUUGUACAGUGCCACCAGAUUAGGCUCGUCAAAUGGCAAGUAUCCAGCCAAGAGGACGUAUAAAACAAUUCCGCAAGACCAGAUAUCGGCUUUGAAACCGUCGUAGCCUUUGUCACUGAUGACCUGUAGAACGAUAAGUUCACACAAGCUAAAACAACAAGCAACGCAGUUACCUCGGGAGCUACGUAGUUUGGCGUUCCACACGUUGUAUGAAGAAGGCCAUCCGACUGUAAAAUCAUUCACUAAUUUAAUGAGCGAGUUCUCUUAUGGUGAACUUAACUCGGCACUGUUGAGGAAGGGCACUUAGACCGAAGUCUGAGAUUUUCAAGUUUCCAUCUGAAUCCAAUAGCAAGUUCUCUGGCUGCCAAAACAAACGCUUCUAAGUCGAGAGCUCUACAAAUAUCAGUUCGUUUCUUUCGAGAAUCACCUUUAAGUCACGGUGGCAGACACCCCUGCUGUGACAAUAAUCCACAGCAUCGAUCAGUUGCUGGAAAUAUAUUCGGGCUUUACGUUCAUCUUGCUUUCCCUCUCGCGCCUGGACGAAAAAGAAAUAAAAAGAAAUCUAUGUCAUUCUUUAAUGAAAAACUGUCAGAUGCCUUACGAUCUUGUCAAACAUUUCUCCACCUGUGACAUAUUCCAUAACCAUAUAAAUCUUGGUCUUGCUGCCUAUAACCUGUAAAGGAAAGUCUCACCACCAAAAAAGAAGAGCUUUGGGAAAUGGUUGAAAUAUAAGCUUACUUACCUCAAACAGCUGAAUGACGUUGGGAUGUCUCACCAGCUUCAUUGUAGAAAUUUCGCGUUUGAUCUGUAAAGUUCGUCAAGAUGACCAGCAAUGAAAGCGAGCUCGACCAUUUCUGCUUUACCUGAUCGACCAUCUUGUGCUUCAAAAUCUUCUCCUUGUCCAAGAUCUUAAUCGCGACGCUCUCGUUCGUCUCCAAGUUCCUGGCGUACUUGACCUUGGCAAAAGUACCUUCUCCAAGUGUCCGUCCCAGCUCAUACUUCCCAACGCGAGUUCUCCGGUAGCUCAUUCCUUCCCCCUCUGGAUGGAAUUCCUAAUCCUCAAGAGCGACACAACGCAUUUGAUCCCAGUCACAGGCUCGAGGAGAUCGCCGAGGGAAACAAGAUCCAGGCCGGAAGAUCAAGCGUGCCGAGUGGAAAUGCAGCUGCGAACAAGCCAAGAGAAAGUGAUGGGUGGAUCCAUGCAAUGCGCGCGGGCUGGCGAGCGAGACAUUGAUUACCUGCCGUGCCCACCGAGAAACCCUAAGUCGCGAGUCGCAAGAAGCCGCGCACUGUUCCAUCGGCGAGGAAGAAGAGAAGGAGCCGCCUCGUUGGAACAGGGGGGCGGGCCGUACACGUCACGACGCGGCGGCGUACGGACGUGGUCCAGAAAGACAGGAACUAAUUAGGGCAACGGUGGCGCCACCAAAAGAGCAUUGGGGGCGUGGUUUUCGCUCGCCGCGAUUCGAGACAAUCUUUGGAUGUGCCACCAACCUUGUGUGCAUUAUACACAUAAAAAUCAUACAAUUGUUGUAAAUGUGGGUGCUGGUUUUCCAACAAAAGAUUUGAUAGAGAGCAUCGAAUCAUAUCGCACCGCCAAAACACUUUGUCCGUCCAUUGUCUCCUCUAGAGCGCUUAUUCGCGGGCUAGAGUCGUGGUAAAAACCGCGGUGAAAAAAACCGGGCGCGGUAAAACAGCGGCGACAAUUUGGUGGCGCCAACUUCCUAGAAAGCUUGCAAAUCCACCUAGGGCCUGUGGCGACGCCAAAUUUAAGAAAGAUUUACCAAAAUUACCACACCACCCGUGCGUUUUUCACCUUUGACCACGGACCAGGGCAUAUUCCCCGCCCGGGAAUCCUUGGCUUCGCUGGAGGGGAGAUCCGGAAUCGUUUAGUUUUCUUGUUUCGUGGGUGCCGGCUGGCGCAAACGGGAGGAGUGAGGAACACUUGACAAACACAAUGUCAAAUCCAGAUUGAAUACCAAUUUGGCGAAUAUCCCCCCAAUCUCCAUAUUUGUAAAGUAGAGAAGCGAGAGAUUUGUUUGGCGCCGGGAUCAUGAUCAUAUGCCAAGAUCUCUGCGCAAAUCUUUCCAACAGUGCCAAGGUCAUGCUCAUGCGCAACAAUUGGAGCGAGUCGAGAAGAGACACUCCGCAGCCGUGAUUUUUGUAUGGAUUCUUCGUGACGAAAGUGGGGUCAAAUGGGUUUUGUAUUGUUAUGCUUGGGCCACAUUGACCAGCUCUCUAAUUUCCGCCACGCACAACCAUAUCCCAAAUCUUUGAAAAAACAAAAGCGAAAAGGCAAAAUCUUUGCGCAACAAAAGGUGGCGGACCAAACUAGACAUCUAAAUUUUUCUAAGCUUCUCGUUUCCGAUCAUACAGCUUAGGUACCUGCCUAGUGUUUGAAGCCAGGCGAAAAUCAAUCAAUGUAACUCCCGGCUUUUCACUUUUGACCGCGCGGUAAGAAACCGUGUUUUUACCCAGUCGUGGUGGACGAGAUUCGCCAGGAUCUCGCCGGAGGUUGUUUGCCGGCGCCGGGACCUCAGCAAAUCCGCCAAAGAUUUUAUAGCGCCCAGCAAAUAAUUUAAAAACCAUGGAAAUUUCAGCGAAUCAUAUCUCCAUCCUGGGGGCUCGUCAAUCUGACAGAGCCAAACCGACGACCGACGGCUGCGGUCACGACACGUGUCAGAGGAGCGUUUACCGGACAGAAUACGUCAGUCUAAUCAGUCAGUGUGAUGGCUUUGCUUUGGCAUUCAUUCGUUUGUUUGUUCAUUCUUUCUUCUCUUUUCUCUCGCGUCGCAUCGACAGCUCCUCAUCUACGGCGUCAAGGAUUCCAUCGAUCGAUCGAUCCAUCCGCCAGGUCGUCAAUCGCGCGGCGCUCGCGGCAGUCGCGGCGCGGCUCGAUCGGCGGCACGGAAAGAGGUAUGUGGAUUUGGGCGAAAUCGCGGAGAUUUUCUGGCAUGGGAAGCGGCAGCAAGGGCGGGAUCGAAGCGGAAGAAGCUGCCUGUGAUGCGUGACGCAAUGCUCGCGCGGAGCAUUGGAGCUCUCCUCUCCAUCGCCGAUGAUGUCCUGUCGAGCCUGGUGGAUUAUCGGAGCAGCAAUCGUCUAGGAUUGGAAUUGGAGCAGGGAGGAGGAGGAGCGAUCCAUAAUCUGGCCAGGGCGGGUGUAAUGCAGGAGGGAUCGCCGAGUCCGGCCGUGGAGACAGGGAAGCUCUUCAAGGAGGUAUCCAGGGCAUUUAGCGGUAGCAACCAAAAGGAUGAAUUCCUGGUCGCGUCCACCACUAGCACGACGAGCAGCUCCUCGUCGCCUCAUGCAUUGCUCGCGUCCAGCGCGCAGCAGCUCAAGCACAGAUUCAAGACGUCACACAAGAGAUCUCGCCUCGAGGAGCUCCUCAUCGAGUCCACGCACUCGGAGAAAUUGGGAUCGUCUCACACGGCGCUCCCAGGGUCAGGGACAGGGACAGGGCUGGACAAGCUAGUCGUGACUUUGGCACUGCUUUUAUCCUCGGCCAUCUUGCUCGUGUGGUACUUGACGCCGGCCGCGGUACUGGUUUGGGCCGUCCCGGCAGCGAUGGUGUCACUGGCGAUUUGGACGAGAUUUGUUCGCUGCGAUCCGCCGAGUUCCAGGGAGAUUUGCGUGCAAGGGCAGUGUUCCGGGUGUAGAGUAGUGAGCCAGGACAAGCAAGAGGAGGAGGAGCAGCAGCUGGCCCAGCGAGCUCAUCGUGCCAAGCAACAAUUCAUGGCUUAUGUGUUCCAUAACAUAAGAGGUGAGUUCGUUGCUAGGCUAGAAGUUUCUUUUUCUUUCGCUCUUCCGUAUAGAUGGUGCGAGAACUAUUUCGUGAUUUUCUGACGUACCUUUGGCUUCUCCGUGCAGUCCCUUUCAAUGCGAUCGUCCUGGGAUUGGGUCACAUGCGUGCUUCAGCGUCCGGGGAUGACUCCAGUUCCGGGGAGCUAGACUUGGUGCAACUAAUGCUAGACUGCGCCGAGACAAUGACAAACGUGCUUGAUGAUGUUACUGAUAUGGGUAAGGUGUCCAUGUCUCGACUCGAGUCUCGACUUUUACUUAUGAUUGUUCUCGACAUAACUAACGAAUGAUCGGUCAUCCACAGGAAACUGGGAGGAGGGGCGCAUUGAGCUUCACCGAGAUGUGUUCGACUUACUGGCGGUGGUGAAGUUCCUGGCGUGGGGUUUGAAAGAUUUGCUCGAGCAGAAACAAAUAUCUCUCAACAUUGAUAUCGAUCCGGUCGCCAGCAAGAUUUUGAAGUCCCACAACAUUGUCGGUGACAAGCACCGGACUGUACAGACGCUAGGUAAUCAAACUCCUCCACGUCUGACUCUCACUCACGCUCUGCGCAAGCAGGCAAUUUUCUCAGUAAUGCCGUCAAGUUCACGCCUACCGGGGGAAAGCUCGACCUGGAGAUCAAGUGUCAAGAGCUCGACGGGGUCCCGGUCUCAAACUCCAAAGGCUUUGAGACCGACGAGUUAGAGCACAAGUCCCUGGAGCUCUUUAUUGCCGUCAAUGACUCUGGCGCAGGUAACGUUUCUUUCUUCGCGAUCGCGAUGCUUUGUUUUGUUCUGACUUGAAAGUCUGGUGCUCGGACAGGAAUUUCCUUAGAUGACCAAGACAGACUCUUCGAAGCGGACUCUUUCAUAUCGUCUCCUUGGGUCCAGAAAGCUGGUGUUUCCGGCCUGGGCUUAAGUGUUGCGAAACGCUUCAUCGAACAGAUUGGUGGUCAGAUCGGGGUACGCUCGCGGGACCAAGGAAGUACGUUCUUCUUCUCCGCUCCAUUUCUGCUGGUUCCGAUACAAAAGCGCACGAACUCGUCAGUCCCGGCCUCUGGGAUCUUCUAUAACAUGAGGUCUACAGACUCCGUAAGCAAAGAGAAGCGAAAGUUGGAACGCCUCAGUGACCUUGACGCCCAACUCAAGUGUUCGCCGGGUGCUGUGCUGCCACAAGACGCCUCUCCGUGCAGGAGAAAGGUGCUGCUAGUGGAAGACACGCGGAUAAACAGAGUAAGUCUCGUCUUUGGCUAUAUCGGUGCGCAUUUUACUUACCAUCAUCUUGGCUGUACGUACAGAUUAUCUUGCGGAAGGUUCUUCAGAACCUCAAUCUCCAAUGCGACGAGGCAGAGAACGGCCAGAUUGCUGUCGACCUGCACAGGCAGGGCAAGUCCUACGAUCUGGUGUUGAUGGACAAGGAAAUGCCUGUCAUGGACGGACACGAGGUAAGAGUUCUUAGAACUGAGUUUUCCUUUCUCUCCAAAGUAUGCUAACGUAAGUUCCUGGCAGGCAACUAGAGCUCUGAGGAUGAUGGGUGUGAAGACUCCAAUCGUGGCCUUAACUGGCAAUGCUUUGCAGUCGGACAAGGAGCUCUUUUUCGAAGCCGGGGUGAAUGAGUUUCAAACAAAGGUAUGGAAGGAAACGUAAAUGCUCGUGGACAGACAGGAGUGCUGAUGCUCUCGCUUUUGCCGUGGCAGCCUUUGUCUAGAGACAAACUUAUCCAGCUCCUGGCAAGAUACGGAGUUGAGAGCUCAUCGCCACCGGUGGCUUUGCAACUUUGUCGCGAGUAAGCUGCCCAGCGACGAGCGAUCAAGGAGCGACAACAUACAGAGUUUUCAAGGGAUUGUCUUUUUGGCGGGACAGGCAAGCCCGGUUGGGAAAUUUGUAUAGACUCACUCUAUUAUGUACAGCUUUUUAGUGGAGCAUAGGAAUCAAAGAGAGGGACGAGAGAAAAGAAAGAUAGAAAGAGAGAAGAAGAAAAAAACCAUGGAAGCUCCAUUCAGCUGAAACAAAUGGAAAGAAGGAACUUAGAAUUUUUCAGUGCGCUAUGUCUGGAAAGGAAGAUCUUGGAGCUGUUUCAAUACAUCCCGGCUCUGAGAUGGCGGUCAAGUCUCUCGGCAUUGAAAGUUCCCGGAAUCUCGUGAAAAUCAUCGUUGAAGAUUGAGUAGGCACUGCACGGCACGUAUCCUUGUGAUCUGGAAUGGAAUGGAAGAAGUCUUCGUACCUGAUGUCGCCCUCUUGCCGCUUUCCCAGAUUCCAAACGAUGAGACAAAAGAUCGUUGCGAUUAUCUGCGACAGUGGUGUUAGUAGUAAAGAACACACAAAACAGCACUGUUUCUUACGUAGAGAUGGCCCAAGUCCCACGAAAUGGCGUAGCCAGCGACGAUGAGCCAGAGCAGGACCAUCAUCCAUCUUCUGAAACCAAAAGAGAAGAUGAUCAUCAGCACGAAGUCUGCUCAGAGAAAAAAUCACACCAGUGUCCAUGCUCACGCUUGAUGUAUGAUAAAAAAGGACAAGCUACCUGGAAACUUGAGCUUGUGCUUCAAGAACUGUACGAGUCUUCUCUCGAGCGGGGAUGCGGUCGCGGGAAGCUUGAAUCUCUGGACACACACAAAACACACUUAAAACCAACAAGAAGAUUGCUCAAAGGAAAAAAAACAAGAAAAACUCUCGUACCAAGUCAUCAUCCUCGUCUUCGUUUUUGCUCUGCGAGUGCACCGAAGGCGCCUUGGGUGGAAGAAGCACCAGCAACGAGUCUAAAAGGAAGAAGAAGAAGAAAAAAACGAUGAAUUCCACUCAAGAAAGAAACAAGAGUUAAAAAAUGUCCAUAGUCUCACCUCCAGCUCGAAUGUCGACAGUGGAGUAAUCAUCAGCAGCACCGAGAGCCUUGCCUCUAAACACGAGCUUCAGUCGAUUCACUUGAGAAUCCUCCACUAGGCCAAGCUCCUGGCUCACCAAUCUCCGCAACACACCGAUCUAGUAGAAAUCCCGCUCAUCAAUCGGAUCGAUUGGAUCAAUCGAUCGGCCACUCACCUCGCAUAGCGGCUCCACCUGGAUCACCCGGCGCCGCCGCGCGAAUCCAGCGACCUUGAGCUCCAGCGGCACCAUCCCCGGCGAGAAACCCUAGAGGUAGCGCUUUCGAAAUUUCCCGUUUAACGGGGGGGCUUUGUUCUUGGCUCUAUUUCAUUGCUCCAGCCAAAAUGGGAAGAGCUACUGCGUGAGCGAUGAAGGAUUCCGCCAAAAGGUUUCUCCUCCUCCCUUUCUCCGGCCUCCUGCCAUCGUCAAUCUGCGUCCUCCUCGCCGCCGCGCUCGUCUUCUUGGCAGCUCUCACGAUCCCAAACCUGGGACUGGGAUUCUCACCGCCGCUGGAGCUCCUCCUCAUCCAUCCCUACGCGCCGAUCGCUCAAUCGCCUGGGAAUCUCUCCACCGCCGCGCCACCGAGCGAUCCAGGUAGCCGAUCGGUGCCAAAUCUUGCUCAAAAUAUUUCGGUGCCAGCUCGAGGAGGAGGAGGAAGAGGAGGAGGAGGAGGAGGAGGGGAUUCCAUCGAUCGCGAGGCGCGAGUGUGCGAUCUCUACACAGGCAAGUGGAUGCCGGAUCCGCGCGGUCCCCUGUACCGCAACGAUGCGUGCCCCAUUCUUUCGCAGGCACAGAACUGUCAAGGGAAUGGAAGGCCGGACAGAGAUUACGAGUCUUGGAGAUGGGUGCCCGAUGGCUGCGGCCUUGCGCGCUUCAACGCCACCGAGUUCUUGCGCAUCAUGCGAGGCAAGGUCCUGGGAUUCGUGGGCGAUUCCGUGGCCAGGAACCAGAUGGAAUCGCUCAUGUGUAUCCUAAUGCAGGUAAGAGGAUCGUUCUAGCUCUUCUUGCUUCUCGCUUUCCUGGAUUGAUCUAGCUAGUUCUCAUUUGCUUGCUCUCCUAGGUAGCCAGUCUCGAUCGCGAUCAAUGUAGGUACUCUUUUUCCUGAUCGGAGUAGUAGAUGCUAGAUGGUUUUUUUUCCUCUCUUUCUCUCGAUCGCGGACUAACUGUGAGCUUCGAUUACCACACCAGGUGGAGAACCCCGUGAACAAAGGCAAUAAGAGGAUGCAACGCUGGUUUUUCCGCUCGAGCAAGGUCACCAUCGUCCGGAUCUGGUCGUCAUGGCUGGUGAAAUCCACACCCGGCGACGCCUCGGUGAAGAGCGCAACGAGAAUUCACAUCGAUCAACCCGACGCCAACUUCAUGGACUUCCUUCCCAGCGUGGACGUGCUCGUCAUCUCGUCCGGCCACUGGUUCGUGAAGAAGUCGGCGUUCAUGCGGGGUGGCCAGGUGGUGGGAACUCAGGGGUGGCACAGGCCGAACGCGACCAUGACCACCAGCAAAGCCUUCGCAGCGUCCAUGACCACGGCCCUCACCGCCAUCGCCGCCAGCCGGAACUACAAGGGACUCACGGUUUUUCGGACGUUCUCGCCGGAUCACUACAUCGGGGGGUCGUGGAACACGGGAGGGUCGUGCACGGGGAUCACGAAGCCUCUCACGGACAACGAGGUGAAAAGGAUUGGCAGCAGCGUCUUCACGAGCGAGAUGAGGCGGAUCCAACUCGAGGCGUUCGCGGAGGCGAAGAGGAACGCGAGCGGAGGAGGAGCCAGGCUCGUGCUCAUGGACGUGACUCGGGUGUUUGAGUACCGGGCAGACGGGCACCCGGGAUCGUUUCGAAGCAAAGAUCCCAGCGGCAAGGUGGCGGCGCAGGACUGUCUCCACUGGUGCAUGCCUGGACCUGUCGAUACGUGGAACGAGUUUUUGCUCCACAUCAUCGUCACGCACAAGAUCAACACGGCGGCUUGAUCCAUCAUCCAUUCUUUCGGGAAGCUCUCCAAUCCAUCUGUAAGUUUUGAUUCUUUGCAAGGGAAAGAAAGUUGCUACGAGACGAUGCUGGCGAGCAUCAUGUAAGGUGCUGAAUUCCCCGGCUCUAGCUCCGAUGCGUUCUCGGCUGCUCGAGCUGCGAGCUCGGCCUCGCGGUGGAGCUUGCAAGCGCUGAGCAUCGUCUUCCACGAGACGGCCUCGGGAAGAAAAGGCAUGGUUUCUACGAGCUCCUGUGCGUCGUCAAGCCGGCCCGAUCGACCGAGAGCGUCCACCAUGCAUCGAUACUGCUCCCUCGUCGCCUCGAUUCCAUAGUCGCUCGCCAUGGACAGGAAGAAGCUCCGGCUCUCCUCCACCAUUCCCAAGUGGCUGCGCGCUGCCAGGACGAUCGUGGCUGCGACCUCGUCGAUCUCCCAGCCUUCGUGGCUCAUGAUCUGGAAGAAGCCCAUUGCCCUCUUCCUAUCGACGCUGUAGCCAGUGAGCAUUGCGUUCCAGGAGAUGGUGUCGCGAGCAGGCAUUGUGUCGAAGAUCCAACGCGCUUCGUCCAGAUGCCCCUUUUGGGCAUUCACUGCGAUCAUGGCGUUCCAGGCUAUAAGAUCUGUGGCUGGCAUUUUCUGGAAGAGAUCUCUAGCCUCGACAAGCUUCUCGUGGCGAGCGUAUCCAGUGACCAUGAUAUUCCAAGCUAGAAUGUCCCUGAACUCCAUCGAAUCGAAGAGUUUUCUGGAUUCUAGCAAAUGCCCUCUCUCGGCAUAUGCAGAGAUCAUCAAAGUCUGGAUCACAACGUCCAAAUGCUGCAUCGAAUCCAUAAUGUUUUGAGCCUCCUCGAGAAUCCCGUGCUGGACGUAGCAUUUGAUCAUCUCGGUUUGCGAGAGCAUGUCGUGCUCGUCGCGCUGGAUGGAAUCGAAGACCAGCUUUGCUUGCUGGAUCAUCCCGGCUUGCGAGUAGGCCGCGAUCAUCAGGGUCUUAGCAAUCACGUCCCUCUCGGGCAUCGCAUCAAACGCCUCCUUGGCGUCGGCGAGGCUGCCAUCGCGGACAAGGGCGUGGAAGAGGGCAUUCCACGUCACCGUGUGUCGCUGUGGCAUUUUUGCAAAGACAAGCCUGGCUGUGCCGAGGUGGCUCGCCGCGUCAGCUAGCGCUUGAAAGAGAGCCGUCCACGUCACUACGUUUCUCUCCGGCAUGGAGUCAAACUCCUGCUUGGCCUCGUCCAGGUGACCGUUGGCGGCCAGUCCCGACAUGAGGCUCGUCCAUGUCACUAUGCUUACGAGAGGCAUCUUGUGGAACGUGGCGCGGGCACCAGCCAGCUGUCCCUCUCGUGCGUAGCCAAAGAGUAUAAUAUUCCACGUCACUAAGCCACGUCCGCGUGGCAUCUCAUCGAACAAGCUUUUAGCACGAUCAAAAUGACCAGACUGGGCAUAUGCUGAGAUCAUAGUGUUCCAAGAACGCUCAUUGUAACAAUCUAGACUGUCAUACGAAUAAUUGCCAUAAGUUGUUAGGGCACUGGAGUUAGAGCUAGUGAUAUGAUCUGAUAUGGACCUUUGGCCUUUCUCAAGCAAAACGUUGAAGAGUUUUUCGGCUUCCUCAAGAUGCCCAGCUUGGGCAUUUGCUGAGAGAAAAGCGUUCCACACGACUGUGUCGUGUUGUGGCAUUCUAAAGAAUGUGGCAGUGGCGGAAACAAGGUCUCGGUUCUCUGAGAAUGACUGAAGCAAGAUGUUCCAGGAAUAAGAAUUGCGUUGCGGGGUGGACUCGAAAACUUGGAAUGCCUCCGCUGGGCGAUUGCAGCGUCCAUACAUGAGGACGAGGAGAUUGGCGAGGAAGGUGUUGGAGCUGUGGCGGCUGUGGAUGAUAGCGGCGUGGGCUUCUCUCCCGCGCAAGAGAUCCCGGGCAUCGAUGCAGCUCCUCACUGCCUGGGCGAGUCGAUCCUUCUCGCCCACCAUGGUGGAGAUUAAAAAAAACGAGCAGAGAAUAUGCGACGCAUCGCUCUGGGCCUAGGUUUUGGUUUUGAUGCGUGGCGGAGCUGGGAGGUGGAGCGUCUGGAAUGCAGGGCAUGCUGCGCCACGAUCUUCUCGCCGGCACUGAUGUCACAACAGCUGCUCCUGGCGAUUUCCUCCAUUUCAAGGCUCACGUCCCUCUGCGACAUAUCUGGGUACGCAAUCGAUCGAUCACUCCAUCCCUAUUCAUCCAUGAUUCUCGAUCGAAAUCUCCUCUCACAGGUGGGAAACAAGCACUGGCGGUACUACCAGUCGGGACCAAAGCUCUUGCCGCCUUUGGUGUGCCUGGGAGGGACUUCCUCCACUGCCGAGGUCUUCUACAAGAUUAUUCUCUCCCUCUCCGCCAAGGUAUUGCUCUUCCUUCGUUCUUCUUCCUUUUGUUCAUGCAUUUUGUUGUUUAGAGACGUUGUAAACGUAUUUUUCGAUUCUUCUUUCAGGGCUAUCACGUAAUUGCUGCUGAUGCUCCUCCCGUGUGGAGUCACCAGGAAUGGAUCGCUUCGUUCGAGAAGUUUUUGGAUCAAAUUGGUGCACACCAUGUAAGUAUGAUACAAGGUGUGCUUCCGGAAUUUUUCUAAUGUUUCUCUCUUUGGUUUUUGUUAAGGUUCACUUGUAUGGUACUUCUCUCGGUGGGUAUUUGUCGCAGCUAUUUGCUCAGCAGCGUCCGAGGAGAGUAAAAUCGCUACUUCUCUCAAAUACGUUCUUGGAAACACACACUUUUGCUUCAAAAACUUCUUGGAAACCAUUGUGAGUAAGAACUUUCUGCUGUUUUUGAUCAAAGACUUCGCUUCUUACAGGAUAAGUUGGACGCCCGAGUUCAUGCUAAAGCGAUACAUCCUCUCAGGAAUUCAUGAGGGGCCGCAAGAACCUCUCAUUGCCGAUUCAAUAGAUUUCGUGGUCUCCCAGGUAUGUGCCUCAUUUUGAGGAACUUCAUAUCCUACGUUUCGAUUCCCGACAGUUCGAGACCCUUUCCCGCGAAGAUCUCGCAUCACGCUUGACACUCAACACGUCUCCUGCUGCAGUAGGCCAGAUCACACUCCCGGACUCGUGCAUCACCAUCAUGGACGUAAGCAUUCCCGCCUUUCGAGACAUUUACUAAAGCUUAACUUACAGACGAAUGACUACUGUGCCAUCCCGCAGUCUCUCAAGGACCAAGUGGCUGCCAGAUAUCCCACCGCCCGAAGAGCCAUGCUAAAGUCCGGUGGAGAUUUCCCCUUCCUCUCUCGAGCAGCCGAAGUUUCACUUCACGUACAGGUAGCAGCGAUCUCGUCUUUUCCCCUGAUCCUCGUAACUUUGCCUCGCAGCUCCAUUUGAGGAGAGUGGGAGUGGAAGGCGUUCCCGACGCUCGUCCAAUCCCAUCCCCUGGGAGUGGUGGAAGCGGGGACUCCGCCGGCGACGAUCAAUACCAAGGCCGGAGCCCCGACGGAGACCGAAGCUCUGCCGCGAGAGACGAGCCAUCUUCGAGCAGUCCAGCAGCCACCGACCGGAGCUUCUCUCCAAACGCCACGGACUCGUUCAAGCGACUCGGUCUCGCAAAUCACCUCCAGGCCGACUUGCAAAUCUCUCACCUCUUUUCUUUGCUGUGUUUGUUAGCCGCUGUACAAGAAUUUUGGUUUUGUUCGCCAGUAGCUACUUGUCCGAGCUUGAAAGUUUGAUCGUUUUCUUUGUUCUUGUAAUUUACAACCACCUUUUUUUUCUACCAAUCACAAGUUGGUUUUAGUAACCCUACCACCUUUUUUUCAUGCGUACCUACCUUUAUCCUGCCACCUUUUUUUCAUGCGUACCUAUCUUUACCCUACCACCUUUUUGCCCAAGCCCUACCACCUUUUUACCACCUUUUUAUGACACGAAACGUGCCCUUUGUCGCAACGCUAUGACAUUGCACAUGUUAAAGAGCGUGGAAAGUUUCAAUACUCAAUCAAAUCCGUGUUGUGCACUACUUGCAAAAUUCUUUCCUCAUCGUCAAGUGACGUUACAAUGGAAAAUCGUUGUUAAAAAAGAAUACUCGCGUGUCGGGUUAGCGGCCAAGACUUGGAAGAAUAGGAGGGAACGCGACGAUUUCCCGUCAACACCAAACCGUUGGAAUUGCUGGUGGCGGUGUUCUUGAGCUAGAUCUCUGCUGUUCUUCCACCAGAUUCAAGGCCUGGAGCAGCUUGGGCCAGCUCUCGCUCACGCCCCCGCGAACAUCAAAAUUGACCAGCUUCCCCUGCUUGCGGUAGAAAUCCUCCACUGGUUUGCUCUCCUCGUCGUAAACCUGGAGCCUCUUCUGGAUGCUCUGCUCGGAAUCGUCCUUCCUCGUCACCAUCUUGUCCAGGCACUGGAUCGGCGGAGGAAUCGCUGGCAUCCUCAGAUCGCCCACUGAAACAUCGGCCAUGCUGAACACUCGCCCACACUCUCCACACACCCUCCGGCCCAGGCACUUCUGGAUCAACACCUCGCGCUCCUGGGCGAAGUUCACAGCUACGUGAACGUCCGCUAUCUUGUCUAGCACGAUCGCCUGGUUCACCGUCCUGGGGAAUCCGUCCAGGAUGAAUCCCUUGUCGCCCCUGGCAGCCCCCGCCUGGAGCCGCGAGUGGAGCAAUUCGAACACCUCCUCGUCGCCCAGGAGCUUCCCCUUGCUCACAACCUCGGCGAUGCGCCGGGACAUGGAGCUCACCUUCUUCAUCUCCUCGCGGAUCAAAUCGCCAGUGGAGAUGUGAGGAACGUCGAGCAGCGCCGCGAGCUUGAUCCCAAACGUCCCCUUGCCGGCUCCCGGCCUCCCCAGCAACACCAAAUUGAGCUCUCGCUGCUUCCGCGGCUCCUCCUCCAUCGCCUUGCAAAUCUCCGGCAUCAAACCUUGGUGGUGAUCCUCCUGCGAGAUCGGUGGCAGUGGAAGCGGAUCCACGAUCGUCUUCUUCUUCUGGCAGUGGCCCAUCCCGGACAACCUGUUAGCUAUCCCAGAGAUCUGGGGCAUUGCUCGUCUCCCUGCUAGCGCCAUUGUGUCUCUUCCUUUUCCGAUUAGGCCACAAGAAAGCCCUCUCUCUCAUAUACACGGAAAAAGGGCAGUAAAGGAAUAUCCCGCGUGGCUUGACCGGUCAACAGUCGGCGGGGGGUCAACCAUCAUUCGCGGUCAAAAGCGCGCGCGUGGAAGAGAAACGUGGAAAGUGCUUUUACCACUAGAAGUUACCAGUGACGUCGUAGUCUCACCCACGCCACGGCACCGACCACCGCGCCGCCCAGAUGGCCUACGUGGCUUAUGGUGGAUGCCACCUGGCAAGCAGACAAACAAGCAAGCCAUUAGAGAACGCUUCCCAAAACUUUGGAAGAAACCACGCAAGAGAACUUACAUCGGAAACUCCCCACAAAUCCUUGAGGAUCAUGUAAGCUCCCUGUGGAGUGAGCGAUCGCGUCAAAUUCUCACAGCAUUGGAAUGGGAAAAACAAAAACUUAGGAAAGAUCGAUCGCUUACAAACAGGGCAGCUGGGACUGGGAAGAGGAAAUCGACCAAGAUGACGCGCGUUGGAUUGAGCAUGAUGUUGAGGACCACCAGCGCGUUGAUGGCUCCACUGGCGCCCUGUGGAAAAAACGUGUCGCGCAUCAAACAGCACGCGAGAGAUAGAGGAAGAUCACGCUUUUCUCUCGACUCACCAGCGCUGGUGGGACAAAUCGGGCCACAAAGGUGCUGUGACGAAGCCCCUGGGAAAACCAAAAAAUGUGAAUGACGAUACGAGGAUCCAGAAGAAGAAUCGCUGCGCUUUUAUCGAACCUUGAGCCAGGGAUAGAUGUAAUAGCUAUAAGCCAAGUGUCCGAAGGAGCUAACGAGGCCACCCGCAAAGUAGAUCAUGUAGAGCCUUUUGCUGCCGAAUCUAUAAGCGAUCUGCGAAGCGGAGUGAGCACGCGAGAGAGAGCGAAGAUCCGGAUCGAAAGAGAACAGGAGAGAUCACAAGACCUCGGUGCCAAAAAAGUAUAGGCCGAGUAAGUUGGAUGCCAAGUGCCAGAACUCGUUGUGGCUGAAGAAGUUUGUGACGAGAGUGUGGAGUCGGCCACUCAACACGUUGUGCAUGGAGAUCUGAGUGUCACAAUUGUCACGAGAGAAUUUCUAGCAAAAGAAAAAGAGAGAAAGAAACCGACCGUGAAAUGCUCGGUCAUGAAAACCGGGUCGAAAACCUUCCACAGGAAGAACACCGAAACGUUGGCACCGAUCAAAGUCCACAAAGCAACAUCGGGUCGAGCGUAUCCUCCACCCCUGAUAGAGUUCCAAGAAAAAUAAACAUCACCCUCGAAGAAGAUCAUAGAAGAUCAUAGCAUAGGAAAAAAACGAUCUUUGUUACCCUGGCAAGCGGCCGAGGCUGGAGUAUCUCCAGCGCUGCGAGAAGCGAUUCACAAGCCGGUUCCAUUCUCGCACGGCGGGCUGCAACUCGGCUGGGAUCUUGAGCUUGCUUCCCUGGAAACUUGUCCGAAACUGGCUGCUGCUCGUCCGCGUCGCGUGAAUCCAGCAAGUGAGAGGCCGCCAUUCGGUGCUCGUGGCGAUCUUUGAUGUGCCCAAGAAACCACUCACGCUCGUCUUACCAGCGGUCGCACAGAUUCUGCGCACUGCCGCCAUUUCCACCCUAAACGAAGACCAAGCUUUUGGAAUUCCAGGAAACCUUUGUAUUGUUUUGCAGUCUCGAGAGAACGAGAGUUCGCUCCAAAUUCCACCAUUUCGUUUCCUCUCCCGCGGAAUUGGAGAGCGAAAAGAAUCUGAAAGGUUGGCACCGAUUAGAAAAACUGGCUUUUUGGUUCGAGGAAGCCUCACACGCUAUGAGAUAGAUCGAGAGAUGUCCGCUGUUCCUUCCAGAAACUUAGAUUUUGGAGAGAAGAACAAUGCAAGUGGAGAACUUCUUGUGCUGGAUCAUUGCUUUCGAAUUCGCGCUUUUUAUUUACAUCGAUUUGGCGAAGAACAUCAUGGGAGGAUUGGAUUCGUGUUGUUGGUGGAGUGGCAUUGGAUUUGGAGUGACGAGACGAGGAGCUUGUGUGUUUUCCUAGCCCUGAUCGCUUCGCGUCCCAGUGUUCGUGGAGGCCGAUCUUCUCCUGUGCCUUCCGCGUCUACGCCUCUGCGAAAAAAGAGAUUUUUGAGUCAAGUUCCACUGGACGAUUGGGUGAUCUUACUCCUCGCCCUCGGCGCCGCCUCCGCCGGCGCAUCAAAGAGGGGCUUGUCGACGCUGUUCUUGCGGGUCGCACCAUUUCUCCUGUCCUCCCAAACUCUAGCAAUGCUUCGCCAUAGUUUUCUCCAGCAAUGUAUAUCCCCGGAACAGCCGCGACCCUUGGAUCUGCCACGUCACUGAUUAGAUCAGCCACGUCAGCGAUCCCCGGAACAAAACCCUAGGCUCGUACGGAGCUUAUUAACUGGAGUUUUAAACUCUUUUGGGCGAGGGAGGAGCGAGGAAUAGAUUCGGCAUGGGGAGCGCGCGGCGGCCCAAGAAUCCCAUCCAGGCGCUCGUCUGGAGGAUCCAGCGCCAGAAUCCCCGCGUCAAGGCCGCGCUCCUGGCGCUGGCGGCAGUGAUUGGGAUCGUCUUCCUCAGGUAUGUCGUCAAGGAUCACGACACCCUCUUCGUCGCCUCCGAGUGCGUCCACGCCCUGGGGAUCGUCAUUCUCAUCUACAAGCUCCAGAAGGAGAAGAAUUGCGCCGGUAAGGAUCCAUGGAGCGAUCGAUCGAUUCGAUCGCUCAUUAGCUACAGCUAGGGCCGCGUCAAAUCACUUAAAUAACUUUCUUACAAGUGUGUGUUUCUCGUGUUUCUUAGGUGUGUCUUUGCGAUCGCAGGAGCUUACAGCGAUUUUUCUUCUCGUCCGGCUCUACUGCUCCACUUUCAUGGAGCAAAACAUCCACACUUUCCUCGACACGGCCACGCUCCUCGUCACGGCCUGGGUGAUUUAUAUGAUCCGGACCAAUCUCAAGGCAACUUAUGUCCAGGAACUCGAUAACAUGCCACUCUACUAUGUGGUAAGCUUUGUUUUUCUCGUCCGGGACUUGAGUUCUAUCACUCCUUUUUGGUUUUCCUUUCAGCUGGCUCCAUGCGCAGUGCUCGCUAUCCUGGUUCAUCCUCUCAUCCGGUACCACCUUAUCAACAGAGUUUUGUGGGCGUUUUGUGUGUAUUUGGAGGCCGUCUCCGUGCUGCCUCAGCUUCGGGUGAUGCAAAAGGCUAAGGUAGGCCAAUUCUCUAUGUUUCUUCGCUCACUUAUCUUGGAUUUGAUCCACAGCUUAUAGAACCCUUUACUGCGCUCUACGUUUUCGCCCUUGGGGUUGCAAGAUUUAUCAACUGUGCGCAUUGGCUGCUCCAGGUAUGAAUCUCAUUGCAAGACAAGAGGAAGGUCAUGUAAAAAAACGCAUUUUUCUUCUCCUUUUGCAGCUGAUAGAUGGACGUGGCUACCUCUUCUACACGCUGGGAACGCAGCUCAAACACCGGAGCUUGAUUCCUUAUGGCUUGUGGCCUGCCAUGGUUGUGGUCGCCGAGAUUGUCCAGACAUUCAUCCUUGCCGAUUUCUGCUACUACUACGUAAAGAGGUAUGGAUCAAAAGAAGAAAAAAGCCAUUUUUUCCAUGAAAUUUACGAUUUCUUUGUUUGUGACAGUGUGGCGGAGGGCCAGAUGAUGAUCCGGUUGCCUUCAAGUGUCUAGAAUUUCAUUUGGUUGUACAAGUCUUUUCUCCUCCUUUAAACUUUCUUAAGUUAACUUAAAAUGGCCGAUUAAAAGAGUACCUUUAGGGCUAGCUAGCUAGGGCAAUUUGGAUUGAGCGCCAUGGAAGACAAGCAGCUGUUGCUGGCGCAGUUCAUGGAGGUGGUAGGCGAGCCUGCCGAUCGCUGCCACCAGUUCCUCGAGGUUUGAUCCCUCCCUGAUCGCUCUUCUUGAAGGAAAUGCCGAGUGAUUUUGUGUAGGCGACGAACUGGCAGCUCGAGGAAGCGAUUCAGCUCUUUUUCGCUGGCGGAGGUGUCGAGAUUGGAGCUCCGCCUUUAGCAGCGGAGCCCCCGCCAAUGAGCAAGCCUGUCCAUGCGGAGCCACCUCCAGUAGUGCUCCCUUCUCCAAGGUGAGAGUUUUCCUUCGUUCUUUCUCGUUCCUGGAUGAAAAGAAAGGAUUUUUUUCCUCUCAGUGGGGGAGAUGACUACGUUCGUCCACCACUGCCUGUGAAACGCGAGGCCUUGUACGAGGAUAUCUUCCAAUACAGGUAAGAAAACGAAGAUCACCAUCUCCUUUUCUCAUUCUCUUUGGAUGGUUUUCCAGAGCACAAAGAAGGGCGCAAGCAGGUCCCGUCCAGCCGACUCCUGUGGAUGCUUUCCGGAACUUCGAGGACGAGUUUAACUCCAGAAUCGCCAAGCCCUCCCCUGGGAGCUCUCCCGUGGGUGCCAAAGCUCCAACGCUUGCGUCCCUGUACCGUCCGCCACUGGAGCUCAACUUCGAGGGAAGCUUCGAACAGGUACGAAGGACGCCACUUUUCCCAGACGAGACCAUCUUUCUCCGCAUGUUUAGGCGAAAGCAGAAGCAGCCAAGCAAGGAAAAUGGUUGCUCAUCAACUUGCAAUCCCAUACAGAGUUUGCGAGUCAUAUGGUAUGAUUAUAGCUCCACAAGUAAGCUUGCAAACUGUGUUUUCUCAUCUACGAGCUGAUGCUUUCUGUGUAGCUGAACAGAGACACCUGGGCACACGAGGCCGUCAAGGACACGGUGAGGAUAACCUUCGUCUUCUGGCAGGUAUUUGUGAUGUUUGAUAGCAUUCGUGGCCUCACUUCUUCUUUGCUGGUUUUAGAUCUACGAUGACACCGAGGAAGGAAAGAAGGUGUGCACGUACUACCGCUUGAAUACCAUGCCUACCAUUCUGGUGCUGGAUCCUUUAACUGGCCAGAAGAUGAGAUCCUGGGAGGGUAUGGUAGGCGCGGAGAGACUGCUCGAGGUAUAUGUUUUAUUCACCACUUUCUAUAGAGAGUUUUCUAUAGAGACUUACAACACUUUCAGGAUCUUGUCCAAUUCAUGGAUAGAGGUCCCAUGGAGAACCACACUCAAAAGCGACCACGAGAUGUGGAACAACAGCAACAGCAACAGCAACAGCAGCAGCAGCAGCAGCAACCACAACAGCAGCUGGAUCAAGGUAGAGCUCGACGCUGAGUUGCCAGCAAUCUUUUCACUUUGUUCUUGGCAGGCCCGGCUGAUACCGACGAAGACAAGGAACUCCAGCGGGCCUUGGCAGCUUCGUUGGAGAGCCAAACCGAGCCUUCUUCGGCGGCGGAGCAUGUCAAGGCCCGCGGCAGCAAGCAUCCAGCGCUGCCGGACGAGCCCAAGCCCGAAGAGCCAGAAACUUGCCGCGUUGGAGUGCGUUUUCCCGAUGGCAAGAGGGGCCAGCGGAGGUACUUUCGAUCCGAUCCACUAACUGUAAGUGGAAAACCAGCGAUGUUCUUCCUUUCUCGCUUCUCAUGUUGGUCGUAUCGUGUAUGAGCAGUACCUCUGGUCGUAUUGCUGCUUGAACGUGGAGGAGGCCGCCAGCGGCAGAAAGUUUCGCCUCACGCUCACCAUUCCUGGUGGGAGGUCUCUCGAGUACGAUCCCAGCAUCACCAUCGAUGAAGCAGGUGUUGCCAACGCCAUACUGAACAUGGCAUGGGAUUGAUCGCUAGUUUUCUUUUCUCCUUCGCCUGUAUCUGGCAAUCAUCUCAACGCGUAGUCAGUCGUAAGAACUCUUUCAAUCAAAACAUGAUUUUUAAGGCUUUUGUUUUGCAAACCUGGUAAUCAUUCUGUCCGAGGACGAGCGCCCCGUGAGUCGGCAGUCAUGAGUCGACAGUCAGACACAGAUAGCUCCAAAAGAUACCUGAAACUCCAGACACGAUAAAUUCCUCUGCAAAGCUGCUACCAACGCGCUCUGGUUCUUCUGUAUAUUUCAAUGUAGCCAGCAAAGAACUUCCAGGUUUGGCGAUGGAGAAGGUCCCGCUGCUGCUGCUUGUAGCGAUGGUGGUGCUAGCAGCAGCAGCACUUCCGGUUCUGGGACAAGAAGUAGAAGCUGAAAACGAGGCGUUCGAUCCAAACGACGACUUCGAGUUCCAGAUGAAGAAGCCGAAAAUUCUCGUCAAAGGCCAUGUUGUCUGUGAUCGAUGCUGGCACGGACGUGUUGGCAACAUGAGCCUCCCUCUCCAUGGUACGCAAGAAAACCAUCUUUGGUAGAAGUUUGAGAGAAGUUCUUCGUUCUUGUGUCGAGCAGACGCCGAGGUAGGCAUCAAAUGCGUGGACCUGUAUGGAUUCGUGACCUUCUCCGGCGUUGGAUACACCAACACUCACGGCGUCUUCACCAUUCCCAUGGACGAGAUUCCAGCCAUCUUCGGCGUUAAGGGAUGCAAAGCCAAGCUUCUGCGAGGCCCAAGCACCGGCGACUGCGAUGAGGUGAGCUCCAUGGGAGAUGGUCACACGGGAGCUCCGCUUCUACUCGUCCACAAAUCCCUGCGAGAGGUCGUGUUUACUUCCGGUCCCUUCGCGUGCCGGCCUCUCAAACGUCCGGGAGCUUGCAAAACCGCCGCUGCUCCUCCUCUUCCUCCUCCGCCAGUUUACAAGUACUCGUCACCACCGCCACCGUUCAAGCACGUCCCAAACCAUCAUCCACCCCCGCCAAGCGUUCCCAGCUACCAUUCUCACACUCCUCCGCCUGUUUCUCACCAUCCGCCACCACCAUCUCCACGACCAGUUGCUCCUCCAGUUUCUAAGUCGCCGUUCAAUCCAUACAUUUACAAGUCCCCACCCCCACCACCUCCAGCUCCUGUGAAAUACCAUCAUCCACCUCCGGCUCCAAUCUACUUCCGCAAAACUCCACCUCCGCAGAUCCAUCCUUCACCACCUCCUGUAACUUCUCACAAGUAUCCGCCUCCAAUGGCACCUCAGAAGCCAUUACCACCACCUCCUGUAACUUCUCACAAGUAUCCGCCUCCAAUGGCACCUAAGAAGCCAUCGCCACCACCAAGUAGCAAGCCGCCACCUCCAAAAUCAUCACCUGGGCCUGUUACAAAGCUUCCAC
rnacentral:lncRNA from 1 species